rnacentral:rRNA from 17 species
AUACGGAGGGGGUUAGCGUUGUUCGGAAUUACUGGGCGUAAAGCGCACGUAGGCGGAUCAGAAAGUAUAGGGUGAAAUCCCAGGGCUCAACCCUGGAACUGCCUUAUAAACUCCUGGUCUUGAGUUCGAGAGAGGUAAGUGGAAUUCCGAGUGUAGAGGGGAAAUUCGUAGAUAUUCGGAGGAACACCAGUGGCGAAGGCGGCUUACUGGCUCGAUA